CUUCUCCUUUCGUAGACGUUGAUAACGAUAUUCUAUGUCUGGCCGACGCUGCGGAGCCGGAAGGUACGAAAUUUCAAAUGUCACACGGCAUUAGAAGAAUUCGGUACGAUGGCGUCAUCGGAUUUCUCUCUUAAAUAAGAUCGGUUUACAAGCAUCGACCAGUCUGUCCUUCCAAAGCGCUUACAUAAGUCCUUCUUGUUAACGGAAAGGCGUCGGUUAUACUCGUGCGAGUUGAAUUAUCGUCGUUACUACGAGAAAUGUCGCGGUAAGUGGUGGAUCGAGCGCCCCGCCAGUUUAUCGUUUCUUUUCGAUCGAACGAGUAACGACGACGGAUACGCCCGAUUAAUCUCUCUCUCUCUUUCUCUCUCUCUCUCUCUCUCUCGCAAAGUCGCUUGGUCUACUCGUUUAAAAGAUCCGAGAUCUGAAAAAUAAUUGAAAAUAACCAUAAAGGCGCGUGACAUCAAGAAGGAAAACGUCAGGGAAGUGAAUUUCUUCGAGGUGAAAAUUGUACAAAAGAUUCGGCCGUGAUAGCUGGAAGCGGAUCAACGCCGAAUAAGAGCCAAUGCUAAAAUGAUAUACACGCGAUGCACGGUACCGUGUGGAGCGGCUAUCGUGCUCCCGUGAAACCAAAAGUCGACGCCAUUAAUAAUUCAUCGGUCGGACCCGUGGUGUAUCGAGACGCGCCGUAUAUACCUAUAUUCGUAUACGUAGCGUAUCGAGGAACGUUUGAUAUAUCGUCAACAUUGCGAUAUAUUGGGAAAAAACGCGACCGAUAACGGAAAGAAGUAAAAAAAGCAACAUGAAACUUUGAUUUCAAAAUGACGGAUGGAAAAAAAAAAUAUAAAAAAUUUCUCAUUUCUUCCUUCUACGACGGAGAUGCCGCGAAUUAACGAAAUUCGAUCAAAGGUCCCUUUCGAUGCCUAUCGUCUUCUUCUGAAAAACGCCAGGUUCUAUCUAUUAAACGCUCGGUACUAUAAAUCAAGCGGGCGAAACGAAACGGAUCGUACAUCAUCCCGAUACCACGGCGGAUCACUCGGCGAACGUCGUUCUCCGAAAGAAGAAGAAGAAGAAGAAGAAGAAGGGAAGGAGGAGGAAGAGGAGGAGAAGAAGAAGAAGAAGAAGAAGAAGAAGAAGAAGAAGAUGAGGAAGAAGAAAUGUAUAAAAGAGCCAAAAGAACGGUUACGAUA